AAGGUUUCCCUUUGCCCACAAAGAGGGAUGCAGUAACAUGUCAGAUGGUGGUUUGCAUCCCUUUUUUUUGAGAUGGAGUCUCGCGCCCGGAGGUGUCCUCGCGCCGCGCUGCUCCUGCCGCCUCGGGGGUGAGAGAGGGCGCGCCACCCGGACCCCCGGCCUGGGUCCCCCAGCUCCCCAGGCUUGAGUGCCAGGUCCCCCAUCCCAGACAAAUGGUUAUUCACACCUGGCCACAGCAGCCAGACACCAAACGACAGCCCUGGUAACAGGGUCCGCAGGAGGGUGGUUGGCUGGGCAGGACAUCAGGCCCAGCCCUGCCCCUGAGGAGCUCCCCUGCACAUUUUUCUCACCCUUUUAGUUUUUGUUUAUGAUCAUUUUGAUGUCAAAAAUGUUUCAUAUUUUGUGGUGAAGUGUGUUGGAUUUUUCCCCAUUUUUAGAUAUUCCGUCUCUCUGUGUAGUCAACUCUCCCUAGCAUGCAGCCAGAUAAAGAUGCACCUGUCUUUUCUUCUAGAAGGUAUUUUUACUUUAGUUUUGUACACAGCAUUUAAUCUGUCUGUCUUAGUCCAUUUUGGGCUGCUGUAUCAGAAUACCUGAGACUGGCUAAUUCCUGAAAAACAAAGACUUAUUUCUAACAAUUUUGGAGAUGGGGAAGUCCAGGAUUGAGGGGCCACAUCUGGCGAGGGCCUUCUUUGUCGCUACAUCCCCCAGGAGGUGGCAGAAGGGCAGGAGCACACGUGAGAGAGCGCUGAAGGAGGCGGAACCCAUCCUUUUAUCAGUAACCUGCUCCCGAGAUAACAAAUCCACUCCCACUGUAACGGAAUUAAUCCAUUCAUGUAGCAGAGCCCUUGUGACCUAAACACCUCUUAGAGGUCCUACCUUCAACACUGUUGCGUUGGGAAUUAAGUUUCCAACACGUGAACUUUGGGGGACACGUUCAGCCCAUAGCACAAACUAGUAUUUAUUCUGAUGUAAAUGGACGGCAAGGAUUUAACUUUGUUUUUACAGCUGCAUCUGAACUGUUUCCUUUUUGUUUGUUUGUUUUGAGACGGAGUCUCGCUCUGUCACCCAGACUGGGGUGCAGUGGCGCAUUCUUGGCUCACUGCAACCUUCACCUCCCACGUUCAAGCAAUUCUCCUGCCUCAACCUCCCGAGUAGCUGGGAUUACAGGUGCCUGCCACCAUCACCAGCUAAUUUUUAAAUUUUUUUUUUUAAUAGAGAUGGGAUUUCACCAUGUCCAGGCUGGUGUCGAACUCCUGACCUCAGGUGAUCCUCCCGCCUCGGCCUCCCAAAGUGCUGGGAUUACAGGUGUGAGCCACCGCUCCCGGCCAUGCCUGGCUAAUUUUUGUAUUUUUUGUACAGACAGGGUUGUGCCAUGUUGCCCAGGUUGGUCUCGAACUUCUGGGCCCCAGCAAUCCACUUGCCUUGGCCUCCCAAAGUGCUGGGAUUACAGGUGUGAGCCACUGCACCCAGCCUUAAAUUUUUACCUUUGAUAUACUAUUUAUUUCAAAAGGGUAGGCCAGGCGCGGUGGCUCAUGCUUGUAAUCCCAGCACUUUGGGAGGCUGAGGCAGGCAGAUCACGAGGUCAAGAGAUCAAGACCAUCCUGGUCAACAUGGUGAAACCCCGUCUCUACUAAAAAUACAAAAAUUAGCUAGGCAUGGUGGCACGCGCCUGUAGUCCCAGCUACUCGGGAGGCUGAGGCAGGAGAAUCACUUGAACCCAGGAGGCGGAAGUUGCAGUGAGCCGAGAUCGCGCCACUGCACUCUAGCCUGGCGACAGGGCAAGACUCCGUCUCAAAAAAUAAAUAAAUAAAAGGGUAUUAUGCAAUUUCUUACUUAUUAUGUGAGGGAGCCUCUUUU
rnacentral:lncRNA from 1 species